rnacentral:rRNA from 1 species
GAUGAACACUAGCGGCAGGCCUAAUACAUGCAAGUCGAACGGUGUAGCAAUACACAGUGGCGCACGGGUGCGUAACACGUAUACAACCUACCUUACAUUGGGGGAUAGCCUUUCGAAAGGGAGAUUAAUACCGCAUAAGACAGUAACUAGGCAUCUAGUAGCUGUUAAAGAUUUAUCGAUGUAAGCUGGGCAUGCGUCCAAUUAGUUAGUUGGCGAGGUAAUGGCUCACCAAGACGAUGAUUGGUAGGGGAACUGAGAGGUCAAUCCCCCACCCUGGCACUGAGAUACGGGCCAGACUCCUACGGGAGGCAGCAGUAGGGAAUAUUGGGCAAUGGGCGCAAGCCUGACCCAGCCAUGCCGCGUGCAGGAAGAAGGCGUUAUGCGUUGUAAACUGCUUUUAUACAGGAAGAAACGACCCUUGCGAGGGGCAUUGACGGUACUGUAUGAAUAAGCACCGGCUAACUCCGUGCCAGCCGCCGCCGUAAUAC